rnacentral:rRNA from 1 species
GGGGAAUAUUGCACAAUGGGCGCAAGCCUGAUGCAGCGACGCCGCGUGGGGGAUGAAGGCCUUCGGGUUGUAAACUCCUUUCAACCAUGACGAAGCGUGAGUGACGGUAGUGGUAGAAGAAGCACCGGCUAACUACGUGCCAGCAGCCGCGGUAAUACGUAGGGUGCGAGCGUUGUCCGGAAUUACUGGGCGUAAAGAGCUCGUAGGUGGUUUGUCGCGUCGUCUGUGAAAUUCCGGGGCUUAACUCCGGGCGUGCAGGCGAUACGGGCAUAACUUGAGUGCUGUAGGGGAGACUGGAAUUCCUGGUGUAGCGGUGAAAUGCGCAGAUAUCAGGAGGAACACCGAUGGCGAAGGCAGGUCUCUGGGCAGUAACUGACGCUGAGGAGCGAAAGCAUGGGUAGCGAAC